AGUUAAAUACCUUAAGUAAGGAUUAUGCUUUGAAAGCAUAUAUAAGAGGUUAAAAUCCCCUAUUAACUU
rnacentral:tRNA from 1 species